rnacentral:rRNA from 1 species
GAUGAACGCUGGCGGCGGGCCUAAUACAUGCAAGUCGAGCGAAGCGGGGACGGGUGAGUAACACGUGGAUAACCUCCUAUAAGACUGGGAUAACUUCGGGAAACCGGAGACAAAACGGAUGCUGAUAGAUGGAUCCGCGGUGCAUUAGCUAGUUGGUAAGGUAACGGCUUACAAAGGCAACGAUGCAUAGCCGACCUGAGAGGGUGAUCGGCAACACUGGAACUGAGACACGGUCCAGACUCCUACGGGAGGCAGCAGGGGGGAAUCUUGCGCAAUGGGCGAAAGCCUGACGGCGCCACGCCGCGUGUGUGAAGAAGGUCUUCGGAUCGUAAAACUCUGUUAUUAGGGAAGCGUUACCUAAUCAGAAAGCCCCGGCUAACUCCGUGCCAGCAGCCGCGGUAAUAC